GGAGUUUGGGCCGUGUCUCAGUCCCAAUGUGGCCGUACACCCUCUCAGGCCGGCUACUGAUCGUCGCCUUGGUGGGCCUUUACCUCACCAACUAGCUAAUCAGACGCGGGACCAUCUCGUACCACCGGAGUUUUUCACACUAUGUCAUGCGACAUUGUGCGCUUAUGCGGUAUUAACAGUCGUUUCCAACUGUUAUCCCCCAGUACGAGGCAGGUUUCCCACGCGUUACUCACCCGUCCGCCACUAGGUUAUUUCAUGUAGCAAGCUACUCGAAAUAACCCCGUUCGACUUGCAUGUGUUAAGCACGCCGCCAGCGUUUAUC
rnacentral:rRNA from 1 species